rnacentral:rRNA from 1 species
GACGAACGCUGGCGGCGUGCUUAACACAUGCAAGUCGAACGGAAAGGCCCUGCUUUUGUGGGGUGCUCGAGUGGCGAACGGGUGAGUAACACGUGAGUAACCUGCCCUUGACUUUGGGAUAACUUCAGGAAACUGGGGCUAAUACCGGAUAGGAGCUCCUGCUGCAUGGUGGGGGUUGGAAAGUUUCGGCGGUUGGGGAUGGACUCGCGGCUUAUCAGCUUGUUGGUGGGGGAGUGGCUUACCAAGGCUUUGACGGGUAGCCGGCCUGAGAGGGUGACCGGCCACAAUGGGACUGAGAUACGGCCCAGACUCCUACGGGAGGCAGCAGUGGGGAAUAUUGCACAAUGGGCGGAAGCCUGAUGCAGCAACGCCGCGUGCGGGAUGACGGCCUUCGGGUUGUAAACCGCUUUCGCCUGUGACGAAGCGUGAGUGACGGUAAUGGGUAAAGAAGCACCGGCUAACUACGUG